rnacentral:rRNA from 1 species
UACAGAGGUCUCAAGCGUUGUUCGGAUUCAUUGGGCGUAAAGGGUGUGAGUAGGUGGCGCCGUAAGUCGGGUGUGAAAUUUCGGGAGCUUAAACUCCGAAACUGCAUUCGAUAACUGCGGUGCUUGAGGACUGGAGAGGAGUACUGGAAUUUGACGGUGUAGCAGUGAAAUGCGUAGAUAUCGAUAAGGAAGACCAGUGGCGAAGGCGG